AAAGUCGUAACAAGGUUUCCGUAGGUGAACCUGCGGAAGGAUCAUUAACGAGUCUGACGUGGGUUGUCGCUGAUCCUCCGGGAUAUGUGCACACUCAUCGCUCAUCCACUCACACCUGUGCACACUUGUAGUCUUUUUCUAAUGGAUGUCUGAAGGCCUUCACGGGCUGGAUACAUUCAGAAGAGGGGGAUUACGUUUUUACACACACAUAAAAGUUUUGAAUGUAACCUUUGCUAUAAACGCAUUAAAUACAACUUUCAACAACGGAUCUCUUGGCUCUC
rnacentral:misc_RNA from 1 species